rnacentral:rRNA from 1 species
AUUUUUAUUUUAAUAUUAUUUUAUGAAAAAUAUUUAUUGAUUUUAAUUUAAUUAAAUUAAUAAUAGAUUUAUUAGCAUUAUAGUAUUUUUUAAAGAAAAAAUAAUAAUUUUAUAGUAAAUUAGUAUUGUAGAAGAAAAAUGAAAAAUUUGAAUAAUUAUUAAAUAAAAAUUAAAUUUAAUUUAUUGUAUUUUGUGUAUCAAAGAUUAUUAAAAAUAAGUUAUAAAUUUUAAUUAUCUCGAAAUUUAAAGAUUUAAUUAAUUAUUUUAGUUAUUGUAAUAUAAAUAUUAAAAAUAGUUAAUUAGAAAUGAAAUGUUAAUCGUUUUAAAUUAUAUCUAGUUUUUAGAGAAAUAAAUUAAAUUUAAUUUUUAUUUAAUAAUUAUUCAAAUUAAAAUAAUUAUAAUAUAGAUAUAUCUAUUAUUAGGGAUUAGCUUAAUAUUAAAUUAUUAUAUAAAGUAAAUUUAAAAUUUAAUUAAAGAUUUUUAAGAAUAAAAUUAUUUAUAAUUUAUAUUUUUUUAUAAAUAAUUUUUAAUUAAAUAUAAAAUUUUAAAAUAUAGUUAUAUUAAUUGGGAUUUAUUUAAAUAUUGAUAUUAAUUUAAUUUAUUAAUUAAUAAUGAUAAUAUUAGUAUAAGAUAAUUAUAGAAUUAAAAUUAAUUUAAUUUAAAAUUAAUUUAAAUAAUUAGGCAAAAUUAUGUUCGCUUGUUUAUCAAAAACAUGUCUUUAUGAUUUAAUAAUGUAAAGUCUAAUCUGCCCCCUGAAUUAAAUUUUAAAGGGCCGCAGUAUUUUAACUGUGCAAAGGUAGCAUAAUAAUUAGUUUUUUAAUUAAAAACUGGAAUCAAUGAUUGGACGAAAUAUAAUCUGUUUUAAAUUAAUUAAAUAAAAUUUAAUUUUUUAGUUAAAAAGCUAAAAUUUUUAUAAAAGACGAGAAGACCCUAUAGAUCUUUAUAAAAUAUUUGAAUUGAUAAUUUUUUUAUAAUUUAUUUAAAUAUUUUAUUUUAUUGGGGUGAUAUAAAAAUUUAAAUAACUUUUUAUUUAAUUUUAACAUGAAUUAUUGAUUUAAUUUAAUAAUCCUUUAUUUAAGAAUUUAGAUUAAGUUACCUUAGGGAUAACAGCGUAAUUUUAAUUUUAAGUUCAUAUUAAAAUUAGAGAUUGCGACCUCGAUGUUGGAUUAAAAUUUAUUUUAGAAGCAAAAAUUUAAAUAUUAGGUCUGUUCGACCUUUAAAAUUUUACAUGAUCUGAGUUCAAACCGGUGUAAGCCAGGUUGGUUUCUAUCUUUAUAUGAAUAUUAAAUAAUUUAGUACGAAAGGAUUAGUUAUUUUAAAUAAUUUUAUUAAUUUUGAAUAAUAUUAAUUAAUUUAUA